rnacentral:lncRNA from 1 species
GCUCUGCCUUCUCGCCGCUUCAGAAUAGAUAGUGGCCUCGCCAGCCCUGUCGCUUCUCGCCAUGCGCACGUGCUUUGCGUGCGGGUGGAAGUGGGCUCGUUUGGCUUGCUACUUCUUCUAGUGCUGCGACUAUUUUUUGUUUUGUUUUGUUUAUUUAUUACUGAUUGCUCUGGCUGAUGUUGGGUUGGGAGAGAGGGAUUUCUCGCCGCUGCCGUCACGUACGGAGAGUUGGUUGGUUUGGACGAUUAUUAGUCAUCACGACAAGACCGCCCUUGACUACCUUUUCCCUCAGUGCCUGGCACUGCACAACUGCUGCAGUGCUGCUCCUCGAUGCCGAUGCUAAUCCAAUCUUGCAAUCCAUACAUAUUUCCUUAAACGGAAGGUCUAUACAUAUUUCUCAAAAUGAAAGGAUCCCUUGACACCUUAUUAAGGGAGUGUCUUAAUAAGGGGUGUUUAGGCUGUCCGCAACAUAUCUCCUAAGAUUGGCGAUUUGCAUGGUAGAUUACAACGUUUGGUCGUUUGCAGAGUAAAGUUUGUCUUAGAGCAUCUAUAAAAGCUCCUCAAAAGUCUAUAAAUUAAGUUCUUCAUGAAAAACACAAAAAACUUGUCUUCGACGGUUUCUCUAAAGUGCUCCAACUUCUUUAUAGUCAUUAAAACUCUCAUUUGUAGCUACAAACGGGGGCUUUUUGGGCUUCCUAGAAAACACAAACGUGCCACGCCCACACAACCUCACAAUCCGCUACCACCCACGCAACCUCGUCGUCUACCUCCGUGAGCGCAUCCUCCCCAUCUGCGCAACCUCGUCGUCCGUUGCUGGCAACGCGCCCACACUAUCCUGCUUCUACCAUCU